rnacentral:lncRNA from 1 species
AUGAUAGGCUGCAGCCUGUACUAAUAUGAGCUUUUCAUUACAGCUCUCAGCAUAGUCUGUCUGCUGGAGUUUAUGAGACCACUGGAGAGUCCUAAUGAAGGACAUUCCUUUCUACAGAAUCAUACUAUCUUCAAGUCCACUCCCACAUAUGCUUGAGGUAAGAUCAUUUUUUUAAAAAUAGCUCAAGAAACAGGACUGCUUCUAUAUUGUUCUCUGUCUGUCUGUCAAAGCAAGCUGCUUUGAAGUCUUUGAAAGAAAAGCAGGAUAUAAAUGUGGUAAUUAUGUGCUAAUAUUUCUAGGGAACAGUGUACUUUCUCACAGAUUGCGAAUACCACACAUUUAGGUAAAACAGAAAAUAGUUUGAUGAUGAUAAUUCAGACUCACAACAACCCACCCCCCCCAGGGGGUUCUAGAUAGAAAUACUUAAUAGUGGUUCACCAUUUCCUCCUUCUGGUGGUGCUCUGGGACUGUGUAACAUACUCAAA